ensembl:miRNA Mir1899 microRNA 1899
AAUCUUAGUCAGUGCUGGCCAAAUCUGCUUCCUCCUGGUUAGACUGAAUGUGCUAAGUGGAUUUCGGAUUCUGCUCAUUCCGUUGAUUACACAUAA